rnacentral:lncRNA from 1 species
GCCCUUGCACAACAAACAACCUUGGUGAAUUAACUUUUGCAACGCAUCGGGAUCCAACGUGCCCCGGACGAGGUAUCCCGAAGUAGGACAAGGGCAGACAGACCUUUCCAGCAGCGUCUCCGCAAGCAGUCAUUCGACCAGCCACGAUCCGAACGUUUGGGUAGUGUACAUUCCCGUCUUAGCACGCGGAGGAGCAUGCACUCUCGACUAGGGCCACAGAUGAGCAUACAUUCACGGUUGGGGUCAUACUC